CCGACACCAUCAGCACUGCAGACUUAUCCCAUCCCCCAAGCAUGAGCCAAGGCUUCAAGAAAGGGUCAAGCAGGUCUGUUUAAUGAGCACACAAAAGCAACAGCACUCAUGCAGCAAAAUAACUCCUCCUCAGAGGAAAACAAAAUGACAGUUAAAAGGGUCAGACAGAGUUUGACAAUAUGACAGUUAUUAAGGGUUUAAACUGGUGUUCUAAGAGGGGAGGGGGGAAUAAAACAGUCAAACAAAGUCCAUAAAACAGGGGUUUUCUUCACACUCUGCAUCCGAAGUGCCAUAGCAAAACUUCAGAUCCUUUGUCAGAGCGUUUAAAGGGCCAGAACCAGUCUAAUAAAAUCCACUAUGCCCAAAUAACGAAUUUAAAGGGCAAAAUCUUCCAGGGGCCAUAGUCGCAG